rnacentral:tRNA from 2 species
CGGGGCGUGGCGCAGUCUGGUAGCGCACCUGCUUUGGGAGCAGGGGGCCGCUGGUUCAAAUCCAGCCGCCCCGACCA